rnacentral:rRNA from 1 species
AGAGUUUGAUCAUGGCUCAGGAUGAACGCUAGCGGCAGGCUUAAUACAUGCAAGUCGAGGGGCAGCACAGGUAGCAAUACUGGGUGGCGACCGGCAAACGGGUGCGGAACACGUACGCAACCUUCCUUUAAGCGGAGAAUAGCCCAGGGAAACUUGGAUUAAUACUCCAUAAGAUUAUGGUGUGGCAUCACACAGUAAUUAAAGCUCCGGCACUUAAAGAUGGGCGUGCGGCUGAUUAGGUAGUUGGCGGGGUAACGGCCCACCAAGCCAACGAUCAGUAACUGGUGUGAGAGCACGACCAGUCACACGGGCACUGAGACACGGGCCCGACUCCUACGGGAGGCAGCAGUAAGGAAUAUUGGUCAAUGGACGCAAGUCUGAACCAGCCAUGCCGCGUGGAGGAUGAAGGCCCUCUGGGUUGUAAACUUCUUUUAUUUGGGAAGAAACCCAUCUUUUCUAAGGUGGUUGACGGUACCAGAUGAAUAAGCACCGGCUAACUCCGUGCCAGCAGCCGCGGUAAUACGGAGGGUGCAAGCGUUAUCCGGAUUCACUGGGUUUAAAGGGUGCGUAGGUGGGCAGGUAAGUCAGUGGUGAAAUCUCCGGGCUUAACCCGGAAACUGCCGUUGAUACUAUCUGUCUUGAAUGUAGUGGAGGUGAGCGGAAUAUGUCAUGUAGCGGUGAAAUGCUUAGAUAUGACAUAGAACACCCAUUGCGAAGGCAGCUCGCUACACUAUUAUUGACACUGAGGCACGAAAGCGUGGGGAUCAAACAGGAUUAGAUACCCUAGUAGUCC